CCGCUGCCAUGGCAACCUGUUUAGUGCUGUGCCGUUCCGCCCUGGCGCCACGCACCUGCUGUGCCCGCCGAAACUUUUCAAAUCUCCUAGGCAGGAACUGUAGAGCUGCCUGUUCCCACUACUGUGCUCUUUUCAGGAAUAAAACGUGACCCAGGAUUUUGGGUACACGCUGCUGGGGAGGUGGCAGCCAGCAGGCAGCACCUCUUACCUUUCUCAGCAUUUCUCCACGUUAGCGGGGAGUCCACGGAACCAUCACGCGCAGAGCCCGGAGUCUGGAAAGUCACCAGCGGAAGAUAGGCACAAACUUCUCCGGGCGCGCGCCCUCCUCUUCUGCUCGACAAAGGCAAGACCUGCCUGACCACUCGGUCCCCUAGUGGCUGUUGCAACAGUGGCCGGAGUUCUGAUGGGCUAGAAAGGGCGAAUGGUGCAGCUGCCUCAUCGAGACUCUGGCCACUGUCUGAUCUUCUAGGACCAGCCCAGGCUGAGGCAGGUUUCCUCCGCCUGGACUCAGGGAGAGUUCCGAAGGGUUUUUCCUUCCACACUCCGGCCCAGCCUUGCUGCUGAAUAUUCAUAAGAAGGCUGCACCGGGGUGCUCGCACAGUAUCCGACACCCCUACCCAAUGCUCAGAUGGAGCAAAUGAAGUUUCAAGGACCUGGUGAUCUUCCAGGCAUUUCUCCAUCCUGAAAACUUCGACAUGGGAACCGUCACUUGCUUACCUCAUGGAAUCCAAUCCAGCUGGCCACUUCAGGUUCAUAGGCAAUGACCCCAGAAGGGCGGGCUGAGGCACCUUGCUGUCAUGUGUUCCAAAUACUUUACUCAUUGUCUUCGCUCCUGCUGGAUGGGGUCCAAAACGAGCCUUGAAAGUAGUCUGCCUUUUCAGCGAUACACAGCAUACUACCCAGUGUAAGGGUUGAGCUUAAAUAAAUCUGUGCAGACCUAAGAACAAA